CCGCACACGCGCUACACUGAAUCGGUCAGCUAGUUCUUCCCUUCCGAGAGGAACGGGUAAACUGUUGAACUCGAUUCGUGGUAGGGAUCGGGGCUUGCAAUUAUUCCCCGUGAACCAGGAAUUCCCAGUAGGCGCGAGUCAUAAGCUCGCGUCGAUUACGUCCCUGCCCUUUGUACACACCGCCCGU
rnacentral:rRNA from 1 species